rnacentral:rRNA from 1 species
GACGAACGCUGGCGGCGUGCUUAACACAUGCAAGUCGAACGGAAAGGCCCUGCUUUUGUGGGGUGCUCGAGUGGCGAACGGGUGAGUAACACGUGAGUAACCUGCCCUUGACUUUGGGAUAACUUCAGGAAACUGGGGCUAAUACCGGAUAGGAGCUCCUGCUUCAUGGUGGGGGUUGGAAAGUUUCGGCGGUUGGGGAUGGACUCGCGGCUUAUCAGCUUGUUGGUGGGGUAGUGGCUUACCAAGGCUUUGACUGGUAGCCGGCCUGAGAGGGUGACAGGCCAAAUUGGGAUUGAGAUACGGCACAGACUCCUACGGGAGGCAGCAGUGGGGAAUAUUGCACAAUGGGAGGAAGCCUGAUGCAGCAACGCCGCGUGCGGGAUGACGGCCUUCGGGUUGUAAACCGCUUUCGCCUGUGACGAAGCGUGAGUGACGGUAAUGGGUAAAGAAGCACCGGCUAACUCCGUG